GGAGGGUGCGAGCGUUAAUCGGAAUCUCUGGGCGUAAAGCGCACGUAGGCGGUCUUGCAAGUCAGACGUGAAAUCCCCUUGGCUCAACCGAGGAAUUGCGUUUGAAACUGCAGGACUGGAGUACUGGAAGAGGGUGGCGGAAUUCCCGGUGUAAGGAGUGAAAUCCGUAGAUAUCGGAGGAACACCAGUGGCGAAAGGCGGCCCACCUGGACAGAUACUGACGMUGAAGGUGCGAAAAGCGUGGGGAGCAAACAGGAUUAGAUACCCUGGUAGUCCACGCUGUAAACGAUGGAUGCUAGGUGUCGGGGAGCAAUCUUCGGUGCCGCAGUUAACGCGUUAAGCAUCCCGCC
rnacentral:rRNA from 1 species